rnacentral:lncRNA from 1 species
ACAAGAUGGACACAAGAUUUGGAUUCAACAAGAACAAAAGAGAACAAGAUACAAACACUUACAAAAUUGCAAGAAAGGUAAAGAUAGAUAGUGUGACAUAGAUUACUACAAUAACAAAGAAACUAAGUGUAAAUCCAACACUAAGACCCUUAAUACAUGUAAUAACAACACCGACACUUUUAUGUGGACACAACAGGGACGUCAACCUCCCUAAGCACCUACGUUUCCAAUCCUUGAAUGCAACACAAGUGAAAUCCAUACUUGUAUCACCCUAGUUUCGGGUUGGGUGUCUUCUUUCCUUAGAGAGGAAAAUGUUUCAAGUAUUAUACACUCAUCAUAUUUAUCAAAAUCUGAAAAUGAAACCUUACAUUACUCUAUUUAUAGUGUAUUAUAAAUAAUAGGUAAAAUGACCAAAAGGCCCCUUAAUGAAGGGGCACCCCUCUAGUGUAUGUAGUGGACUNNNNNNNNNNNNNNNNNNNNNNNNNNNNNNNNNNNNNNNNNNNNNNNNNNNNNNNNNNNNNNNNNNNNNNNNNNNNNNNNNNNNNNNNNNNNNNNNNNNNNNNNNNNNNNNNNNNNNNNNNNNAUACUCGUAUCAUCCUCCCCUUCUUGAAAAGGAUUCGACCUCGAAUCUGUACCUUGCAAAAUUAAAGAGGAAACAAACAAGUACAUAUCCUCAUGGCAUGAGGGUUAGGGUUAGCAAAAUAAUAAAUUAGCAUUAUCAUGCCAUGGUGGUACACACUUGAAGUAAAAUCAAGGAUCCUUUGUGUUAGUUAUGGAAAGCUUUUUUACAACAUCACAAAGGAAAGGGCUCGGAUGAACAUCAAGAAUUAAGGGACAAAAACCAAGACUACGCCUCUCAUACGAUGUAUAUCCAACAACAUCAUGAAUAUCAUCAUAUGCAUAUAGGUAGUGAAGAAAGGCACGAAAGACACAAUUCUCAUCUAAGAUAUAUUCACAAGUAGGAACACACAAUGGGAGAAAGGGACAUUGCAAGCACGUAGGACCUCUCUCCUUCCAACCACUUCCCGAGGAAAGACAUUCCAUCAAGGGAGUCAUACCAAUAUGGAGAAUAGGGAUACAACCAUGCAACAAUCCAAUCCAAGGCAAGUAGUUUGCAAAAGAACUUGGCUUCCAUCUACAAAUUAUGUGAAGCACGCUCCCAAAAGUCCCACAAGAUACUUCAACUUGUCCAACCCCAUGAAGGUGACAAGAAGUCUUUAACAUCCUUGGACCCUUCCACAAACAAGAAUACAACUUCGCAUCCACAAGUUGUGGUUCAUAUAACUUAAAUACAAGUGUGUCAAACAUGGAUGCACGGAUAUGAGCAAUACCCCAAAGAGACAAUGACACAUUUUCCCUACGGUCCUUGAGUAGACACAAACCACCAUUAACAUCAAAGGGAUCACAAUUCAAGUCGCCAUAUUGGUCAAGCAUAGGUAGGGUGUUAUUCAAAGGAGUACAAGCAAAAUCAUUUUUCAAAGAUAUGUUAAGAACAUGAUUAACCCUAUGAUCCAAGAAAACAUUAGAAUCUUUACAACAACAUAGGCUUACGGGUUGACUCCUUUGUCCUUGACCAACGUCUUCAAAUUAUUCACUCACUUGAGAUUCAUUAAUCACAUCACACAUAUUCGCAAGUGGUGGGUACAUUUUACACACAAGUUGAUCAACACAAUUUUCACAUGACGAUGUACUUUCAUUUAACAAAAUAACUUCAACACUAGGUGGACACAAAUCGAUCAGACUAGAAGAAUCGAUUCGGUCAUCUAUAGGAUAAACUAGUAUAUCCACUCGCACAACAUGUACAUAAUCCACAAGUGGUAACAAAUCAAUAUACUCAUAUGUAGUUAAGCUACUACUCACACUCAAUGGUUUAUUAGUCACAUGUUCAUCAUUCACACGUACCAAGGUAUAAGAGUUAGCUAUUUUUCCUUGACAUUCAUGAGUAUGUUCAUAUUUACCUCGGUGUGAAAGUCCUUCACAAGUUUGGGCAGCAACUUCCUUUGGGAAGCUCUCACCGUAAGGUGUUUGGACCUUAGGUUUUAGAUUUAUUGGGUUAAGUGUGGAUACCAAUUGGCGUAGCCUUUCAACCUGCCAUUUCAUGUCAUCAAUAUUGUCAGUGAUGUGGUCAAACGUGGCAUCGAUAUUGGUGGAAUCCAUGGUACUUAAAAUAAAAAAAAACAACGAAUAACAAAACAACAAACUUGUUAGCUCAAAAAUGCCUCACCACACUCUCACUCUCGAUUUUUACCUCACACUUAAUUUCACAAGUAUUGAAAGUCGGCUUGUACUUCGUGAGUGAUUGAGGGUCAAGUCUACUCUUGACCGGAAUAGAUUUUCGUUUAAGUUGACUCAAAGAAAAUUUGUUUACGGACUUGAACCAACAAGAUAUAAAGAAUUCACAAAAGAUAAAAGCACACGGUAGGGAAUCAAUAUACUCAUAUGUAGGUAAGCUACUACUCACACUCAACGGCUUAUUUGUCUCGCGGUCAUCAUUCAUAUGCACUAAGGUGUAAGAUUUAGCUAUUUUACCUUGACUUUCAUGAGUAUGUUCGUUUUUACCUCGGUGUAAGAGUCCUUCACAAGCUUGGGCAACAACUUCCUCUAAAAAAUUCUCAUCGCAAAGUGCUUGCACAAUUGAAUUUUGUGGGAAGAGUUUGGGUAGCAAUUGACAUAUAAUUUCAAUGUGUCGUUUCAUAUCUUCAAUAUUGUCAUCUAUGCGAUCAAAUGUGACAUUGAAAUUAUGGGAAGCCAUUGUACCUACCAAAAAGACACAACAAACAAGGAAAAAAAACAAAUUUGUUAGAUAAAAAAGGCCUCACCACACUCUCACUCUCAGUUUCACCUCGCACUUGGUUUCAUAAGUGUUGAAAGUUGGCUUGUACUUCAUGAGUGAUUGAGGGUCGGGCCGACUCUUGUUCAGAAUGGAUUUUUGUUUGAAACUCAAAUGAAAUCUUGUAGGACUUGAUUCAAGAACUAACAAGGAAUUCAAAAUGAGAAAAACACACAACAAAUGUAAACAUGAACAAAUGGAUACAAAACUAACUUACAAGCUAGUAGAAGAUUACUAGAUUGUCAAUUAGUGUUUGACCCAAAAAAAUGAAACUAAAAAAUCUAAAAUUUGAGCUUAAUUAUGUUGCGGUGAACAGUAAAAUGUGAUGAUGAGGCAGCCACGUAAUUGGUCAUGGUCCCCGCACAAUUCUUGGUCAAUUUUUCAAUUUGGACUUUGGUGGAAUUUAUUUAAGGAGGGAAAUUCAAACAAGUCUUUUAGCCCCUUUUCAAUUCCAAGUUUUCAAGACUUGACUUUCUUGUCUUUUCUCCUCAAAACAUGGAAUUUGGUUUCCCUUAAAUCAUGGAAAGUUGGUGAGAAGUGAUGUAAAGCUUUUUUGGUGGUUGGGGGUCUUUCAAGACUAACAAUUACUUACACCUUUUUCUUCACCUUUUUGGAUCAAAUAAGCACUUUAUUUUUUUUUUAACAAGGUAUGAAGAUAGUGAUGAACAUCAAGAACAACAACAACAUUCACCAAGAACAACAACAACAAUUCCAAGAAUAACAAUAAUCUUCCAAGAACACCAACAAUUCCUCUUUCACGUCCCACUCUAUAUCCACAACAAUAUUAUCUUCAACACUUGGCCAAGACAACUACAACUGCAAUUAAAUGGUUCUUAGGCCACCAAUUAACAACAAAAUCACGUGGUCAAGCUAAGAACAACAACAAGGUGAAGACCAUACACCCAAAGUGGAGCCACAACAACAAAAAUGUCCAAAACACUUUCAAGUCACCACAACAAUGGUCAAGAUUAUAAGCUCAACAUUAGAUCUAGUCACUUUUAGUGUCGGUGAGAAAGGAACCAACACUAGAAACACACUAAACAAGUAAAAGACUACUAAAUCUAGUCACAAAACUAACAAAUCUUGGCCCACAACAAAAACACAAUUUUGGCCAAGAACACAACCACAGACAGAUUUGCUUCUUCUUUUUUUUUUUCAGCUUUUCAACAAUUUUUUUUUAAUUUUCUAACAAGCAAGCCCAAGAUUGAUCUUGUAGGAAUAAGAUCUAGCCAUGCUUAAGAUGGACCACUCUUGGAUUCAACAAAUACGAGAAGAAAAAGAGAUAAAAAGGUGUGUUUCAACACCAAAACAACUACAAAACCUGAUGAACAAGAUGGACACAAGAUUUGGAUUCAACAAGAACAAAAGAGAACAAGAUACAAACACUUACAAAAUUGCAAGAAAGGUAAAGAUAGAUAGUGUGACAUAGAUUACUACAAUAACAAAGAAACUAAGUGUAGAUCCAACACUAAGACCCUUAAUAUAUGUAAUAACAACACCAACACUUUUAAGUGGACACAACAGGGAUUUCAACCUCCCCAAGCACCUACGUUUCCAAUCCUUGAAUGCAACACAAGUGAAAUCUACACUUGUAUCACCCUAGUUUCGGGUUGGUGGUCUUCUUUCCUUAGAGAGGAAAAUGUUUCAAAUAUUAUACACUCAUCAUAUUUAUCAAAAUCUGAAAAUGAAACCUUACAUUACUCUAUUUAUAGUGUAUUAUAAAUAAUAGGUAAAAUGACCAAAAGACCCCUUAAUGAAGGGGCACCCC